ACGAACGCUGGCGGCGUGCCUAAUACAUGCAAGUAGAACGCUGAAGAGAGGAGCUUACUCUUCUUGGAUGAGUUGCGAACGGGUGAGUAACGCGUAGGUAACCUGCCUUGUAGCGGGGGAUAACUAUUGGAAACGAUAGCUAAUACCGCAUAACAAUGGAUGACACAUGUCAUUUAUUUGAAAGGGGCAAUUGCUCCACUACAAGAUGGACCUGCGUUGUAUUAGCUAGUAGGUGAGGUAAUGGCUCACCUAGGCGACGAUACAUAGCCGACCUGAGAGGGUGAGCGGCCACACUGGGACUGAGACACGGCCCAGACUCCUACGGGAGGCAGCAGUAGGGAAUCUUCGGAAAUGGGGGCAACCCUGACCGAGCAACGCCGCGUGAGUGAAGAAGGUUUUCGGAUCGUAAAGCUCUGUUGUAAGUCAAGAACGGGUGUGAGAGUGGAAAGUUCACACUGUGACGGUAGCUUACCAGAAAGGGACGGCUAACUACGUG
rnacentral:rRNA from 1 species